GAUGAACGCUGGCGGCGUGCCUAAUACAUGCAAGUCGAGCGAACAGACUAGGAUCUUGCUCCUCUGACGUUAACUGCGGACGGGUGAGUAACACGUGGAUUACCUACCUCUAAGACUGGGAUAACUUCGUGACACCGGCGCUAAUACCGGAUAAUAUAUUGAACCGCAUGGUUCAAUAGUGAAAGACUGUUUUGCUGUCACUUAUACAUGGUUCCGCGCCGCCUUAGCUAGUUGGUAAGGUAACGGCUUACCAAGGCGCCGAUGCUUAGCCGACCUGAGAGGGAGAUCGACCAGACGGGAACUGAGAAACGGUCCAGACUCCGAGGGGAGGCAGCAGUAGGGAAUCUUCCGCAAUGGGCGAAAGCCGGACGGAGCAAAGCCGCGUGAGGGAUGAAGGUCUUAGGAUCGUAAAACGAUGUUAUUAGGGAAGAAGAAAUGUGUAAGUGACUAUGAACGUCUUGACGGUACCUAAUCAGAAAGCCACGGCUAACUACGUG
rnacentral:rRNA from 1 species